rnacentral:rRNA from 1 species
AAUCAACGCUGGCGGCGUGCCUAACACAUGCAAGUCGCACGAGAAAGGGGAGCAAUCCCUGAGUAAAGUGGCGCACGGGUGAGUAACACGUGAAUCAUCUACCUCCGAGUGGGGAAUAACUGAGAGAAAUCUUAGCUAAUACCGCAUAACACUUACGAGUCAAAGCAGCAAUGCGCUUGGAGAGGAGUUCGCGGCCGAUUAGUUAGUUGGCGGGGUAAUGGCCCACCAAGACGAUGAUCGUAUCCGGCCUGAGAGGGCGCACGGACACACUGGAACUGAAACACGGUCCAGACUCCUACGGGAGGC